rnacentral:rRNA from 1 species
UCCCGAGCGUUNUCCGGAUUUAUUGGGCGUAAAGGGAGCGCAGGCGGUCAGGAAANUCUGGAGUAAAAGGCUAUGGCUCAACCAUAGUGUGCUCUGGAAACUNUCUGACUUGAGUGCAGAAGGGGAGAGUGGAAUUCCAUGUGUAGCGGUGAAAUGCGUAGAUAUAUGGAGGANCACCAGUGGCGAAAGCGGCUCUCUGGUCUGUCACUGACGCUGAGGCUCGAAAGCGUGGGUAGCGAACAGGAUUAGAUACCCUGGUAGUCCACGCCGUAAACGAUGAGUGCUAGGUGUUAGGCCCUUUCCGGGGCUUAGUGCCGGAGCUAACGCAAUAAGCACUCCGCCUGGGGAGUACGACCGCAAGGUUGAAACUCAAAGGAAUUGACGGGGGCCCGCACAAGCGGUGGAGCAUGUGGUUUAAUUCGAAGCAACGCGAAGAACCUUACCAGGUCUUGACAUCCCGAUGCUAUUCUUAGAGAUAGGAAGUUACUUCGGUACAUCGGAGACAGGUGGUGCAUGGUUGUCGUCAGCUCGUGUCGUGAGAUGUUGGGUUAAGUCCCGCAACGAGCGCAACCCUUAUUGUUAGUUGCCAUCAUUAAGUUGGGCACUCUAGCGAGACUGCCGGUAAUAAACCGGAGGAAGGUGGGGAUGACGUCAAAUCAUCAUGCCCCUUAUGACCUGGGCUACACACGUGCUACAAUGGUCGGUACAACGAGUUGCGAGCCGGUGACGGCAAGCUAAUCUCUGAAAGCCGAUCUCAGUUCGGAUUGGAGGCUGCAACUCGCCUCCAUGAAGUCGGAAUCGCUAGUAAUCGCGGAUCAGCACGCCGCGGUGAAUACGUUCCCGGGCCUUGUACACACCGCCCGUCACACCACGAGAGUUUGUAACAC